rnacentral:sRNA from 1 species
AAGCUAGCAUGGCGGCCGCCGGGGCUGCGGCUACAGACCUAGGUGCGGUGGGCUUCGGGUGGGGGCCUGCAGCUAGCUGAUGGCAAGGGAGGAAUAGCAGGGGUGGGGAUUGUGGUAUGCGAGAGGUCCUGGGGACAGGGGGCUCGGGGGGUCUCUUCAGACAAGAUUCCCUUCAGGCUUGGGCCGGGUCCCUUCGCACGGAGAUCCCAAUGAACGCGGGCCCCUGGAGGCCGGUGGUUGGGGCUUCUCCGCGUCGGGGAUGGGGCCGGUACCCUAGCCCGUUUCCAGCGCCUCAUUCGGUUCCCCAUGCCCUCAGAGGUGGCCCGGGGCAAGCGCGCCGCCCUCUUCUUCGCUGCGGUGGCCAUCGUGCUGGGGCUACCGCUCUGGUGGAAGACCACGGAGACCUACCGGGCCUCGUUGCCUUAUUCCCAGAUCAGUGGGCUGAAUGCCCUGCAGACAAAAUGAAAAUCAAAUGCCGUUUCCAGAAGGCCUAUCGGAGGGCUUUGGACCAUGAGGAGGAGGCCCUGUCAUCGGGCAGUAUGCAAG